rnacentral:lncRNA from 10 species
CUUGCCCCUGCCAUAAAGCAGGGGACCCCAGUCUGGAAGGAGCUCUCCACAGGAACAAGGGCGGUUGGAGGAUGAGGCUCAAGGAAACAAACUGGAGAGAGAGAGAUGCUAUCAGCCUCAUUCCAGAGUUAUAGAACGUGGAUGAAAUAAAUGCACCUGACGAUUGGUGCUAUGGACGGAAUGUUCAUGUUCCCAUCCUCAAAUUCAUCUGUGGAAGUCCUGACCCCAGUGUGGCUGUAUUUGGAGAUAGAGUCUUUAUAGAAGUAAUUAAGGCUAAAUUUGGUUGUAAGGGUGGGACCCUGAUCCAACAGAAUCAAUGUCCUUGUAAGAAGAGCCAGGAGAGAGCUUGCUUUCUCUCCACUAUGUGAGGACACCGUGAGGAGGCAGCUCUCUGCAAGCCAGAAGAAGAGCCCUCUCUGGAAACCAAAUCAGCAGUUGGAGCAAAAUAGGAAGUAGUAAAGAUUCCUUGAAAUCUAUUUCAGAGCUGUUCCUUUGGGGCUAUGAAAUAAAAGACAAGACUGGUAGAAAUGACUUAAAAUGCAAAAAUGGCAAAGGUAAUGAUCACCGUGGGUAGGUUAUAAACGACUGUGGAGGUUUGGGGAGGCUAAAUCAUCCAGCCAACGGAAAAGUAGUCAUUUGAAUCUGAAGACAGUGAGCCUCUGCCUGCGUCUGUCUCAUGUAUUGGAAUAUCCUCUUAUUAAAUUACAGUGUUUUAUAACUUGUGAAUAAAAUUGGUAUCAUGUUUACUAUGCAAAAGCCUCGCUAUUUUUCAGAUGGAUAUAUAUUUAAUAUGAA